rnacentral:rRNA from 1 species
UACAGAGGUUCCAAGCGUUGUUCGGAUUCAUUGGGCGUAAAGGGUGCGUAGGCGGCGCGGUAAGUCGGGUGUGAAAUCUCGGGGCUUAACUCCGAAACUGCAUUCGAUACUGCCGUGCUUGAGGACUGGAGAGGAGACUGGAAUUUACGGUGUAGCGGUGAAAUGCGUAGAUAUCGUAAGGAAGACCAGUGGCGAAGGCGGGUCUCUGGACAGUUCCUGACGCUGAGGCACGAAGGCCAGGGGAGCAAACGGG